ensembl:lncRNA
GUUAUAUAAAAUGUUUCUGACACGCACCUCUCUUUUUCGUCUUCACAUUGUUCUCUUCUGUCUCUGUUCUCCUCAUCUUUUCAGCCCUUUUCUGCUCCUUAGGCUGGGGCUCGGGUCCUUCAGGAGGAGCAUCCAUCCUUUUCCUCUUCAAAGGAUUCACCUUGCUUACUCUUCUAUUGAUAGAGCAGGAUGCCUCUACACAGGUUGCUGUCCUUUCAGUCUUCACAUCCUUCUCUUUUGUCUCUCUUCUCCUAUUUUUAACUGGCUUCUCCUUGGGCUGGAGUUCAGGUUGUUCAGGAGCAAGAUCCAUCCUUUUCUUCUUCAAAGGAUUCACCUUGCUUACUCUUCUAUUGACAGGGCAGGGUGCCUCUACACAGGUCUCUGUCUUUUCAGUCUUCACAUCCUUCUCUUCUGUCGUUCUUCUCCUCUUUUUAACCGGCUUCUCCUUGGACUGGAGCUCAGGUUGUUCUGAAGCAAGAUCCAUCCUCUUCAGAGGAUUCUGCUGGCUUU